UACGGAGGGUGCAAGCGUUAUCCGGAUUUACUGGGUUUAAAGGGUGCGUAGGUGGGUAGGUAAGUCAGUGGUGAAAUCCCCGAGCUUAACUUGGGAACUGCCAUUGAUACUAUUGAUCUUGAAUACCGUGGAGGUCAGCGGAAUAUGUCAUGUAGCGGUGAAAUGCUUAGAUAUGACAUAGAACACCAAUUGCGAAGGCAGCUGGCUACGCGAAUAUUGACACUGAUGCACGAAAGCGUGGGGAUCAAACAGG
rnacentral:rRNA from 1 species